GGAGGGCGGGCGCAGGAGAGCAGCGGUGUCCCAGAAGCCAAGGGUGGUCAUGGAGCCCCACGCCACAGCGCUUCCUACAGGGACACACCAUCCGGUCUGUGGAGGGGGCUGCAUUGCUGGGAGGGACCCACCUGAUCCCGGAUUCCAGCCUCACCCUGGGUCACCGCUGAGUGUCCCAAGUGGCCCCUUAUCCCCCAGGGCCGGGCGGCGUCCCAACCCCCUUGGGAUGUCUGUGCUCAGAGUGUGGCAGACACGCCCCGGCAGGGACAUCCUCCUCCCCUGCACCCGCCACAGCCGUGGGUUCAGGGUCUCUAUUGUGGGCAGAGAUUCACACAGUCAAGGUGAGGGUCCCAGGAGCACCUGUGACCAGGCCCUGGCUGCCAGGGAGAGGGGGACCCUUAACCGACGGGGCAGACAACCUGAGAUGGACCCUCGUCCAGGGGAGGGCCCCGCCGCCCACAACUCCUUGGCAUUCCUGCACCAGCAGGACGGGCUGGAGGAGGCGGCCCCGGGGCGCCUCGCCGGUGUCAGUGCCCAGCAUCACUGUGCCCCGGUGGAGGGGGAGGCCCUUCCGAGCCUGGGCCUGGAUGUGAAUGAGGGCAGGUUUCUCAUCUCUCUGACCUCAGCUUCCUCAACUGGGAAGGGGAGCCACAGCACCUGCUUGGGGUGAUGAGGAAGGGGGAGCUCAGGGAGAGCCCUGGGCAGGGCUGCCUCCUCACCUUCCUUCAGCCUUUGGACAUGAGCGCAGAGGACCAAGUGAAUGAAUGAAUGACUCAGUCAAUCAACUGAUCCAUCAGUCUAUGGAUCUCUGGACAGUCGGACAGCUGGGCAGCGGGCAGGAUGGGGGACUCUCGCUGAAGCCGCAUUCAUUUGUGUUCAGCUUUAGGCCCACCACUGUGCCCGGACCAGCGGCCCACUCGGUGAGUCGAACGUGCACCUGGCACCCCUCUUUUUGGAAAUCCACGAACACUGGGCUCCCGCAGAGACUGAGGCUGAGCAGGCCACUUCCCUGGAGCUGACUCCACAGCUGUGUAGGUACAGGGUGGCCGUGAACACUUAGGGCUUUCUCAGGCUGUGCACUUCUUGUUCACUGCAGGGAGCAGGGUGUUGGCUCCUGACCAAGCCCUGUCACUGCUGCCCAGCCACACAUGGGGCCCCUUCACCCACCCCUGACCACCUUAUGCAGGGAAGCCACUGUGGAAACAGUCUGGCAGUCCCUCGAAAAAUGAAGUCAUCAACCCCAGCAAUUCCACUCCUGGGCCUAUGACAGAGCUUGCACGUCCCCUCCAAAGCUCAUGUUUAGAUGUGAGCCCCAGUGCUGGAGGUGGAGCCUGGUGUGUUUGGGUCCUGGGGGCGGAUCCCUCAUGGCUGGGUGCCGUGCACCCACUCACCACAGUGAGUUCUCACGAGAUCUUGUUGUUGAAAAGUGUGUUGUACCUCCCCCACAAUUCUCUGUCUUUUGUUCCGGCUCUGGCCAUGCAACAAGCCUGCUCCUCUUUCACCUUCUGCCAUGACUGUAAGCUUCCUGAGGGCUGACCAGAAGCCCAGCAGAUGCCAGCACCAUGCUUCCUAUACAGCCUGCAGAACUGCAAGCAAACUAAACCUCUUCUCAUGAAUUACUCAGCUUCAGAUUUAUCUUUAUAGCAAUGCAAGACCUGACUAUUACAACACAUGCUCCCCAAAAUAAAAAGAAAUAUUCAAACAAA